GUUAAUAAGGUAUGCAACAUGUAUUAUAGCAUAAGCCCAAUAUUGUGUAGGAAUAUGAGAUUGAAAUAAAAGAGACCUAGCUACACUGAGGAUGUGUUGGUGCUUUCAUUCUACUAAACCAUUCUAGGGUGUUUCUACACAAGAAGUCUAGUGCAUAAGGCCUUUGGCAGCAUAAAAGACUGGCAUAUCAAACUCAAUGCCAUUAUCACUUCUAAGGACCUGUAUUUUCACAAAGAACUAUGUUUCAAUGAAAGUGUAAAAAGAUUGUAUCAUGGAUUUGGUUUGAGACUUAGUUUGCAUUAAGAAAAUUCAAGUAUGCCUUGUAAAAUCAUCCAUAAUAGUUAAGAAAAAUCUAUGAUUAUGUA
rnacentral:misc_RNA from 1 species